rnacentral:rRNA from 1 species
CCUACGGGUGGCAGCAGUGGGGAAUAUUGGGCAAUGGGCGCAAGCCUGACCCAGCAACGCCGCGUGAAGGAAGAAGGCGUUCGGGUUGUAAACUUCUUUUAAGGGGGAAGAGGAGAAGACGGUACCCCUUGAAUAAGCCACGGCUAACUACUAGACAGCAGCCGCGGUAAUACGUAGGUGGGAAGCGUGGUCCGGAUUUACUGGGUUUAAAGGGCGUGCAGCCGGGAGGACAAGUCAGAUGUGACCUCCCGCGGCCCAACCGCGGAACUGCAUUUGAAACUGUUUUUCUUGAGUACCGGAGAGGUGAUCGGAAUUCCUUGUGGAGCGGUGAAAUGCGUAGAUAUAAGGAAGAACACCAGUGGCGAAGGCGGAUGACUGGACGGCAACUGACGGUGAGGCGCGAAAGCGUGGGGAGCAAACAGGAGUAGAUACCCGAGUAGUC